UACGUAGGGGGCUAGCAUUGUCCGGAAUUAUUGGGCGUAAAGAGCUCGUAGGCGGUUUGUCGCGUCUGCUGUGAAAUCCCGAGGCUCAACCUCGGGCCUGCAGUGGGUACGGGCAGACUGGAGUGCGGUAGGGGAGAAUGGAAUUCCUGGUGUAGCGGUGGAAUGCGCAGAUAUCAGGAGGAACACCGAUGGCGAAGGCAGUUCUCUGGGCCGUAACUGACGCUGAGGAGCGAAAGCGUGGGGAGCGAACAGG
rnacentral:rRNA from 1 species